rnacentral:misc_RNA from 1 species
UACGAAGGGGGCAAGCGUUGUUCGGAAUUACUGGGCGUAAAGGGCGCGUAGGCGGAUGCAUUAGUCAGGGGUGAAAGCCAUGGGCUCAACCUGUGAACUGCCUUUGAUACUGUGCAUCUAGAGUUCGUGAGAGGAUGGCGGAAUACCCAGUGUAGAGGUGAAAUUCGUAGAUAUUGGGUAGAACACCAGUGGCGAAGGCGGCCAUCUGGCACGAUACUGACGCUGAGGCGCGAAAGCGUGGGGAGCAAACAGG